GGUGGCAUGGCAUAGUGGUUUAAGUGUUGGAUUAUGACUCUGGAGACCAGGGUUCAAUUCACCACUGGGCCAUGA